CCUACGGGCGGCUGCAGUGGGGAAUAUUGCACAAUGGGCGCAAGCCUGAUGCAGCCAUGCCGCGUGUGUGAAGAAGGCCUUCGGGUUGUAAAGCACUUUCAGCGGGGAGGAAGGCGUUAAGGUUAAUAACCUUGGCGAUUGACGUUACCCGCAGAAGAAGCACCGGCUAACUCCGUGCCAGCAGCCGCGGUAAUACGGAGGGUGCAAGCGUUAAUCGGAAUUACUGGGCGUAAAGCGCACGCAGGCGGUCUGUCAAGUCGGAUGUGAAAUCCCCGGGCUCAACCUGGGAACUGCAUUCGAAACUGGCAGGCUAGAGUCUUGUAGAGGGGGGUAGGAUUCCAGGUGUAGCGGUGAAAUGCGUAGAGAUCUGGAGGAAUACCGGUGGCGAAGGCGGCCCCCUGGACAAAGACUGACGCUCAGGUGCGAAAGCGUGGGGAGCAAACAGGAUUAGAUACCCGGGUAGUC
rnacentral:rRNA from 1 species